GUAGGUGAACCUGCGGAAGGAUCAUUAUUGAAUGAACAUGGAGUCGGUUGUCGCUGGCCCCUUUACCGGGGCAUGUGCACGCCUUCUCUAUUCAUCCACACACACCUGUGAACUUGUGAGACGGAUAGUAGUCCCCUAGGGGGCGAGGUCCGUCUGCUAAUACAUAAACUCUAAUAGUAUAAAUUCGAAUGUCAUUUGAUGUAACGCAUCUAUAAACUAAGUUUCAACAACGGAUCUCUUGGCUCUC
rnacentral:misc_RNA from 1 species